UGCACAGUUUUGAUCCCGCCCAAAUUGAACACAGCUGAUGCAACCAAUCAAAUUGGUAACUAUUUUUGAUUGUUUGUAUCAGCUGUGUUUUAGUUAGGGCUUCUUCGUCC
ensembl:miRNA dre-mir-2189 dre-mir-2189